UGCUGAGAAAAAUAAAUUCUGCCAAAACGAGGGGAAGGCAGAUUAGGAUCUUUAUUAAACCAGCGGGAUGAAGAAUGUAUA